rnacentral:rRNA from 1 species
CAGCAGCCGCGGGAAUACGAAGGGUGCAAGCGCUAAUCGGAAUUACUGGGCGUAAAGCGUGCGUAGGCGGUGAGUUAAGUCUGCUGUGAAAUCCCCGGGCUCAACCUGGGAAUGGCAGUGGAUACUGGCUCGCUAGAGUGUGUCAGAGGAUGGUGGAAUUCCCGGUGUAGCGGUGAAAUGCGUAGAGAUCGGGAGGAACAUCAGUGGCGAAGGCGGCCAUCUGGGACAACACUGACGCUGAGGCACGAAAGCGUGGGGAGCAAACAGGAUUAGAUACCCGAGUAGUCCCUGUCUCUUAUAC